UAGGGAAUCUUCGGCAAUGGACGGAAGUCUGACCGAGCAACGCCGCGUGAGUGAAGAAGGUUUUCGGAUCGUAAAGCUCUGUUGUUAGAGAAGAACGUUGGUAGGAGUGGAAAAUCUACCAAGUGACGGUAACUAACCAGAAAGGGACGGCUAACUACGUGCCAGCAGCCGCGGUAAUACGUAGGUCCCGAGCGUUGUCCGGAUUUAUUGGGCGUAAAGCGAGCGCAGGCGGUUCUUUAAGUCUGAAGUUAAAGGCAGUGGCUUAACCAUUGUACGGUUUGGAAACUGGAGGACUUGAGUGCAGAAGGGGGGAGUGGAAUUCCAUGUGUAGCGGUGAAAUGCGUAGAUAUAUGGAGGAACACCGGUGGCGAAAGCGGCUCUCUGGUCUGUAACUGACGCUGAGGCUCGAAAGCGUGGGGAGCAAACAGG
rnacentral:rRNA from 1 species